AGCUGUUUGGUGACUUUUUUCAAAGUUGCACAGCUAGGCAGAAGGGCUGGCUGUGCUGUGGAAAAACCAGAGAAGAAACGUGAAACAAAUAGACCUUGCUGGGUAAAAGCCACAGCAGAAAAGAAAGCAAUCCAAACCAAUGAUGUCACUGAAGAAGCUGCAGAAGAAAAAAUCCAAGCUUCUUACCAUGUAAAACAAGUAAGGAGAAAGGAAGAGUGACUAUAGUACCGCUGUUCACUGUUGCUGGCAGAUAACAAACUCGAGAUGAAGCCACAUUUACAGGGGAAAAAUUGCUUACGCCUACAGAAUGAAAUUUCAGGCUUUGACAGCUGCUAGCUCUGGCAAGUGGAGAAGUCAGGAAAAGGCACUCAAGAUAAAGGGAAGAGUCUUGGUCUCCUAUAAGAAGAGAGAGGACACAUCUGAGAAACACCCAGCAGAUAGGAACACUUAAAACUUGAUGGACUGCAAACCCCAAGGCAAGACCCAGUGUUGGGAAAUCACCUUUCCAGCCUGGCCACUUCAAUAUUCCUUUGAUGCUUCUGAAAUUCUCCUAUGAAAUCCAGUACAGCCAAAGUUUGGCUGGGUUCGGGGGCUGAUACACUUCCACCAGCAUUUACUGAGGCCCCACUAUGUGCUCAGACAUGAGGUAGGUGCUUCG
rnacentral:lncRNA from 1 species